GUGCGGGCUAGCCUGGGGGGCUCGGCGUCCUCUGCAACUCGAUAUCGCCGAUAUGCGAGAGGCGAAGCUCGAGGAAGGCGCUGUAGCCAUCAACUUCAGCUCAAGGUUAGACGAAGACGCACCGUCCUGCGGGGUUGACGGUGGUAUGAUGGUUGGCUGGAGAGCUUGCUGCCAUGCCUCCGCCACGGAUACUGGUUUAGGCCCGGAAGGGAGCGGACUCACUGUGGACGUUGGCGCUCGGAGGGAAGCGGUGCCGAGAAAGACUUUGAGGGUCUGAUUGAGAGCGAAGGUGUCGACCGAGAGCGUGCCCGCAC
rnacentral:SRP_RNA from 1 species